GGGGGCGACUUGGCUUCGACGGGGGCAAGGGAUCGUUGGAUGCAUGCCGAGCUCCAUUAACUCGUUAAACGGAUGGAAAAACCACUAACUGCGAACACGCAGCUAGCCCUCGCGGCCUAACGGCACGCGACGUUCACCCUGACCAGCCUGCGGGUUGGGAGUGAAUGUCAUUUCAGCAGGCUGGCCCCGGCUCGAGUCCGUGUUGUCGGGGCGAGACUAAGCGGACUAGCACUCAGCGCUUUCGCCGCACUUAUACGCUGGGCGCGAAACUUGAAGCACGGCUACGCAUGUAGAGUCUGACGACGACAGGCCUUUCGGACGCGGGUUCGACUCCCGCCGCCUCCACCA
rnacentral:tmRNA from 1 species